rnacentral:sRNA from 1 species
CCAAAACGUGCAUGCAGACAGACAAGUACUCUGUCUGAGAAGAAGAAGGUUGAACAAUGUAACACUGCUUGAUCUGGAAAGUGCUUCUUUCUCAACGAUCAGAUUUUUAAUUUCGUGAUGGAAAUUCAUACACCAACACGUAUUCCUGUGCUGUACAAUAGGGUAUCCAAUGCCCCAAGACUGCAUCAAGUUCGACCACGUAACACCAUCAUCACAUCACAUACCCAUCAUACCAAAAACACAUUUCCAUCGCAAGUUCAUUAAACAUUGUUUCUAUCAAUGUUUUCGAUGUAUUAUUUGUUUUGAAAUUUAAGGAAGGGAGUGUUUAUAAAACUGAAUUAGAUCAAGAAGCAGCUUUCAACCCUCUGAAAAAACAGAAAAAAUCACAUCCAUACAGCUAGCUACCACUUCCACACAGCAUCGUUUGAAGUUUCAUUUUUUCUAUGAUUCAUUUUGUCGAAUCCUUCUGAAAUUACAGAGCCAAAAUGAACAAAGACCAAAGACCAAAGAAAAGGUGAAGCUUUAAGAAUGUUCAGUUAUUGGAGAUCCAGGAGAAUGUCCGGGUCGAGAUCCGGCAAUGAGAAGGCCUUGGUUGAUUCCGAAAUCUAUUACAUACGUGGACUCUCCCGGCGGUGGCAAAAGCUUCUGAAAUUGUCUGGUUGGCGGUGAAGUGCGCCGAUUUCAUCAAAAUACCGGCAUGACUCCAUCAAACAGUUUGCAACACGUUCAGCCGAAAUCUGUAGCAACAUGUUUCACUAAAUUUAGCAGAGCAUAGGGUACGUUGAUGAAUUCAAACAUAGACAUUGGAGUUGAACAUUCCUAAAGAAACAUUUUCAUGAAUACUUCAGUAUAUUUCUUAUUAGUUUUGUAUUUUAUGUAUAAGAUUUUUUAUUUUUUUUAAUUCAAUUAAGUUCUUGUUUCUUUUCAAAAAAUCCUUAAGUUAAAUUGGC